GACGAACGCUGGAGGCGUGCUUAACACAUGCAAGUCGAACGAUGAGAUGGAGCUUGCUCCAUGGAUUAGUGGCGAACGGGUGAGUAACACGUGAAUAACCUGCCCUUAAUUUUGGAAUAACCCAGGGAAACCUGGGCUAAUACCGGAUAAGUAAACCUGUGGCAUCACAUGGUUUUGGAAAGUUUUUCGAUUAAGGAUGGAUUCGCGGCCUAUCAGCUUGUUGGUGAGGUAAUGGCUCACCAAGGCGACGACGGGUAGCCGGCCUGAGAGGGUGAACGGCCACACUGGGACUGAGCCACGGCCCAGACUCCUACGGGAGGCAGCAGUGGGGAAUAUUGCGCAAUGGACGAAAGUCUGACGCAGCGACGCCGCGUGAGGGACGAAGGUCUUCGGAUUGUAAACCUCUUUCAGCAGGGACGAAGCGAAAGUGACGGUACCUGCAGAAGAAGCACCGGCUAACUAUGUGCCAGCCGCCGCCGUAA
rnacentral:rRNA from 1 species